UACGUAGGGACCAAGCGUUGUUCGGAUUUACUGGGCGUAAAGGGCGCGUAGGCGGCUUAACAAGUCACUUGUGAAAUCUCCGGGCUUAACUCGGAACGGCCAAGUGAAACUGUCAAGCUAGAGUGCAGAAGGGGCAAUCGGAAUUCUUGGUGUAGCGGUGAAAUGCGUAGAUAUCAGGAAGAACACCCGUGGCGAAAGCGGCUCUCUGGAACGGUACUGACGCUGAGACGCGAAAGCGUGGGGAGCGAACAGG
rnacentral:rRNA from 1 species